rnacentral:tRNA from 1 species
GGGGGUAAAGCUCAGUGGUAAAGCAGUUGACUGCAGGUCAUGCGGUCCCUGUUUCAAAUCCGGGUGCCCCCU